GCAACAACAUCGAUCACAAUGGAACAAUCACACCUACCAAAAGAUCGGUACAAUUUCGUUUACAUGACCACGUUCAUUUUGGGAAUCACGUCUCUCCUUCCCUGGAAUUGUUUUAUUAUUGCUACUGAUUACUGGAUGUACAAAUUACGAGAUGUCUACCAUCCAGACCAGAAAACAAGCCUUCAAGCUGCUUUCUCAAGCUACCUGGCGAUUUCAGCGAAAGUUCCUUUCGUUGUGUUUCUACUCGUUCACGCUAUCAUCAG